UUAAGCGACUAAGCGUACACGGUGGAUGCCUAGGCAAUCAGAGGCGAUGAAGGACGUGCUAAUCUGCGAUAAGCGUCGGUAAGGUGAUAUGAACCGUUACAACCGACGAUUUCCGAAUGGGGAAACCCAGUGCAAUCCGUUGCACUAUCGUUUGAUGAAUACAUAGUCAAACGAAGCGAACCGGGGAACUGAAACAUCUCAGUACCCCGAGGAAAAGAAAUCAACCGAGAUUCCCCUAGUAGCGGCGAGCGAACGGGGAGCAGCCCAGAGUCUUAAUCAGCAUUAGCAUCAGGAGAACGGUCUGGAAAGUCCGGCAGUAAAGGGUGAUAGCCCCGUAUCCGAAGGUGUUAGUGUUGUGAACUCGACGAGUAGGGCGGGACACGUGUUAUCCUGUCUGAAUAUGGGGGGACCAUCCUCCAAGGCUAAAUACUCCUGAUUGACCGAUAGUGAACCAGUACCGUGAGGGAAAGGCGAAAAGAACCCCGGCGAGGGAGUGAAAUAGAACCUGAAACCGUGUACGUACAAGCAGUGGGAGCCUUGAUUUAUCAGGGUGACUGCGUACCUUUGUAUAAUGGGUCAGCGACUUAUAUUCUGUAGCAAGGUUAACCGAAUAGGGGAGCCGUAGGGAAACCGAGUCUUAACUGGGCGAAUAAGUUGCAGGGUAUAGACCCGAAACCCGGUGAUCUAGCCAUGGGCAGGUUGAAGGUUGGGUAACACUAACUGGAGGACCGAACCGACUAAUGUUGAAAAAAUUAGCGGAUGACUUGUGGCUGGGGUGAAAGGCCAAUCAAACCGGGAGAUAGCUGGUUCUCCCCGAAAGCUAUUUAGGUAGCGCCUCGUGAACUCAUCUUCGGGGUAGAGCACUGUUUCGACUAGGGGUCAUCCCGACUUACCAACUCGAUGCAAACUACGAAUACCGAAGAAUGUUAUCACGGGAGACACACGGCGGGUGCUAACGUUCGUCGUGAAGAGGGAAACAACCCAGACCGCCAGCUAAGGUCCCAAAGUCAUAGUUAAGUGGGAAACGAAGUGGGAAGGCUCAGACAGCCAGGAUGUUGGCUUAGAAGCAGCCAUCAUUUAAAGAAAGCGUAAUAGCUCACUGGUCGAGUCGGCCUGCGCGGAAGAUGUAACGGGGCUAAACUAUGCACCGAAGCUGCGGCAGCGAUAUGUAAAUAUUGUUGGGUAGGGGAGCGUUCUGUAAGCCUGUGAAGGUGUGCUGUGAGGCAUGCUGGAGGUAUCAGAAGUGCGAAUGCUGACAUAAGUAACGAUAAUGCGGGUGAAAAACCCGCACGCCGGAAGACCAAGGGUUCCUGUCCAACGUUAAUCGGGGCAGGGUGAGUCGACCCCUAAGGCGAGGCAGAAAUGCGUAGUCGAUGGGAAACGGGUUAAUAUUCCCGUACUGGUGAUAAUUGCGAUGGGGGGGGGGGACGGAGAAGGCUAGGCUAUCCGGGCGACGGUUGUCCCGGUUUAAGGAUGUAGGCAGGUGAAUUAGGCAAAUCCGGUUCACUAUAUGCUGAGGUCCGAUGACGAGUCACUACGGUGAUGAAGUAGCUCAUGCCCCGCUUCCAGGAAAAGCCUCUAAGCUCUAGAUUAUCAUUAAUCGUACCCCAAACCGACACAGGUGGUCAGGUAGAGAAUACUCAGGCGCUUGAGAGAACUCGGGUGAAGGAACUAGGCAAAAUGGUGCCGUAACUUCGGGAGAAGGCACGCUGGCAUUAGGUGAAGUGAUUUACUCAUGGAGCUGAAGCCAGUCGCAGAUACCAGCUGGCUGCAACUGUUUAUUAAAAAAACACAGCACUGUGCAAAACACGAAAGUGGACGUAUACGGUGUGACGCCUGCCCGGUGCUGGAAGGUUAAUUGAUGGGGUUAUCCGUAAGGAGAAGCUCUUGAUCGAAGCCCCAGUAAACGGCGGCCGUAACUAUAACGGUCCUAAGGUAGCGAAAUUCCUUGUCGGGUAAGUUCCGACCUGCACGAAUGGCGUAAUGAUGGCCAGGCUGUCUCCACCCGAGACUCAGUGAAAUUGAACUCGCUGUGAAGAUGCAGUGUACCCGCGGCAAGACGGAAAGACCCCGUGAACCUUUACUAUAGCUUGACACUGAACAUUGAGCCUUGAUGUGUAGGAUAGGUGGGAGGCUUCGAAGCGUGGACGCCAGUCUGCGUGGAGCCAACCUUGAAAUACCACCCUUUAAUGUUUGAUGUUCUAACGUUGCCCCAUUAUCUGGGGUGCGGACAGUGUCUGGUGGGUAGUUUGACUGGGGCGGUCUCCUCCCAAAGAGUAACGGAGGAGCACGAAGGUUGGCUAAGCAUGGUCGGACAUCAUGCGGUUAGUGCAAAGGCAUAAGCCAGCUUGACUGCGAGAGUGACGGCUCGAGCAGGUACGAAAGUAGGUCUUAGUGAUCCGGUGGUUCUGAAUGGAAGGGCCAUCGCUCAACGGAUAAAAGGUACUCCGGGGAUAACAGGCUGAUACCGCCCAAGAGUUCAUAUCGACGGCGGUGUUUGGCACCUCGAUGUCGGCUCAUCACAUCCUGGGGCUGAAGUAGGUCCCAAGGGUACGGCUGUUCGCCGUUUAAAGUGGUACGCGAGCUGGGUUUAGAACGUCGUGAGACAGUUCGGUCCCUAUCUGCCGUGGGCGUUGGAAGAUUGAAAGGGGCUGCUCCUAGUACGAGAGGACCGGAGUGGACGCACCACUGGUGUUCGGGUUGUCAUGCCAAUGGCAUUGCCCGGUAGCUAAGUGCGGAAGAGAUAACCGCUGAAAGCAUCUAAGCGGGAAACUUGCCUUGAGAUGAGUCUUCCCUGACUCUUUAAGAGUCCUAAAGGAACGUUUAAGACUAAGACGUUGAUAGGUUGGGUGUGUAAGCGUAGCGAUACGUUGAGCUAACCAAUACUAAUGAACCGUGAGGCUUAACCUG
rnacentral:rRNA from 1 species